UGGGGAAUAUUGCACAAUGGGGGAAACCCUGAUGCAGCGACGCCGCGUGAGCGAAGAAGGUUUUCGGAUUGUAAACUAUUGUCGUUAGGGAAGAUACAAGACAGUACCUAAGGAGGAAGCUCCGGCUAACUACGUGCCAGCAGCCGCGGUAAUACGUAGGGAGCAAGCGUUAUCCGGAUUUAUUGGGUGUAAAGGGUGCGUAGACGGGACAACAAGUUAGUUGUGAAAUCCCUCGGCUCAACUGAGGAACUGCACCUAAAACUAUUGUUCUUGAGUGUUGGAGAGGAAAGUGGAAUUCCUAGUGUAGCGGUGAAAUGCGUAGAUAUUAGGAAGAACACCGGUGGCGAAGGCGACUUUCUGGACAAUAACUGACGUUGAGGCACGAA
rnacentral:rRNA from 1 species